rnacentral:lncRNA from 1 species
UCUCUCUCUCUCUCUCUCUCUCUCUCUCAUCUCUCGUCUUCCACGCGAUCUGCCGCCACGAGCAUCACCUCAACCUUCGGUUAUGCGCCUCGUCCACCUUGCUUUCGAGAUACAGCACAUCCAUAUCAUUCUCGUCCACGUCCAUCGGGAGGAACAUGCCGAAAAGGAGAGGUACUGGCUAACCCUAGAUCGGAAUUCCAGGUGGUGUAAGGGAUACGGGUGAGGAAGAUGGAUAAGCGGCGGGUGCAGGGGCCGAGUAUUCUUU